rnacentral:rRNA from 1 species
CUUGGUCAUUUAGAGGAAGUAAAAGUCGUAACAAGGUCUCCGUAGGUGAACCUGCGGAGGGAUCAUUAAUAAGAUAAAAGACCUCUGGGUCCUUCAUCCUCAAACCUGUGGAAGCGAGAUGUGUUUCGGCGCCUCUGUGCGUCGAAUCUAUGCUGUUUAGCUUAUGUCUGACUGAAAACAAACAUUUAAAACUUUCAACAAAGGAUCUCUUGGCUCUCGUAUCGAUGAAGAACGCAGCAAAGCGCGAAAUGUAAUGUGAAUUGCAGAACAUUGUGAAUCAUCGAAUCUUUGAACGCACAUUGCGCCUCCCGUAAAUGGGAGGCAUGCCUGUCUGAGCGUCAUUUAAAACCAUAACCUUUGGGUUGUAUUGGGACUCGCCCUAUGGCGUCUCCUCAAAGUCAUCGUGUCUAAAAGCGUACGAGCUCCAUUAGGACAGAACGUUUGAGGACCCUAAACUCUCUGACUUGACCUCAGAUCAGGUAGGACUACCGCCUGAACUUAAGCAUAUCAAUAAGCGGAGGA